AUCGCUGCUGGUUUCCAAUACCAACCGUAUUUCUGCAUGACGCGUCACCCAUCGGGUUACUUAAAAACCCUCAUCGGGGGUCUACGCUUUCUUUUACGCUUGGUGUCUUGUGGAGUUUUAGACAUUGUCCCUCGUGCUCAACGCCACCAACUCAAAGUCGUCUUGUGUGCGUAAGGGCCUAUUGACUAUGCAGCGGGAACUGGCUCAACGUGGCUCCAAACCCUUGAGAUGCAAGUGGUCCUGACGCUUCUUGCCGUGGUGCCAUGCUCCCCUCUGAGUGAAAUCCAGCCAUUCCAAUGGAUCGGAGCACUUCAGAGCCCGCAACCGCAACAGGCUGCUUGACGCUUCCAGGGCAGAGGACAAAAAGCUCCACCAGGGAAUGAGCUGCAGGCUUGGACCUCUUGAAGUAAGAGGAAGAAUGUGGUCCUUGCUACUCAUGAAGCCCACACACCAGAAUGGCCCGAGUGACGUGAUUUGGUUUCUUCCCCCAAAUUUGAAAUAGCAGAGGAGUUAAACCAGUAUCUGCUUGGCUGGUUCAGAAGUUGGGAUGGUUCAAAAGCAACAUGAUAUGCCUUCACCCAAAUUUGGGAAGCUGUGCAUCUACUGACCUUCCUGGAACCCUCUGGCCAGAGCAGCGCUUGGAUCAGCUGAAUGAUUCAAAUGUUCAUAUUGUGUGUGUGUGAGCACACCCAAGUUUUGCUUGGUGGGUUUGUACUGACUUUAAUAAAUCUAAUAACCUUGA